UUAAGCGACUAAGCGUACACGGUGGAUGCCCUGGCAGUCAGAGGCGAUGAAGGACGUGCUAAUCUGCGAUAAGCGUCGGUAAGGUGAUAUGAACCGUUAUAACCGGCGAUUUCCGAAUGGGGAAACCCAGUGUGUUUCGACACACUAUCAUUAACUGAAUCCAUAGGUUAAUGAGGCGAACCGGGGGAACUGAAACAUCUAAGUACCCCGAGGAAAAGAAAUCAACCGAGAUUCCCCCAGUAGCGGCGAGCGAACGGGGAGCAGCCCAGAGCCUGAAUCAGUGUGUGUGUUAGUGGAAGCGUCUGGAAAGGCGCGCGAUACAGGGUGACAGCCCCGUACACAAAAAUGCACAUGCUGUGAGCUCGAUGAGUAGGGCGGGACACGUGGUAUCCUGUCUGAAUAUGGGGGGACCAUCCUCCAAGGCUAAAUACUCCUGACUGACCGAUAGUGAACCAGUACCGUGAGGGAAAGGCGAAAAGAACCCCGGCGAGGGGAGUGAAAAAGAACCUGAAACCGUGUACGUACAAGCAGUGGGAGCACGCUUAGGCGUGUGACUGCGUACCUUUUGUAUAAUGGGUCAGCGACUUAUAUUCUGUAGCAAGGUUAACCGAAUAGGGGAGCCGAAGGGAAACCGAGUCUUAACUGGGCGUUAAGUUGCAGGGUAUAGACCCGAAACCCGGUGAUCUAGCCAUGGGCAGGUUGAAGGUUGGGUAACACUAACUGGAGGACCGAACCGACUAAUGUUGAAAAAUUAGCGGAUGACUUGUGGCUGGGGGUGAAAGGCCAAUCAAACCGGGAGAUAGCUGGUUCUCCCCGAAAGCUAUUUAGGUAGCGCCUCGUGAACUCAUCUCCGGGGGUAGAGCACUGUUUCGGCAAGGGGGUCAUCCCGACUUACCAACCCGAUGCAAACUGCGAAUACCGGAGAAUGUUAUCACGGGAGACACACGGCGGGUGCUAACGUCCGUCGUGAAGAGGGAAACAACCCAGACCGCCAGCUAAGGUCCCAAAGUCAUGGUUAAGUGGGAAACGAUGUGGGAAGGCCCAGACAGCCAGGAUGUUGGCUUAGAAGCAGCCAUCAUUUAAAGAAAGCGUAAUAGCUCACUGGUCGAGUCGGCCUGCGCGGAAGAUGUAACGGGGCUAAACCAUGCACCGAAGCUGCGGCAGCGACGCUUAUGCGUUGUUGGGUAGGGGAGCGUUCUGUAAGCCUGUGAAGGUGUACUGUGAGGUAUGCUGGAGGUAUCAGAAGUGCGAAUGCUGACAUAAGUAACGAUAAAGCGGGUGAAAAGCCCGCUCGCCGGAAGACCAAGGGUUCCUGUCCAACGUUAAUCGGGGCAGGGUGAGUCGACCCCUAAGGCGAGGCCGAAAGGCGUAGUCGAUGGGAAACAGGUUAAUAUUCCUGUACUUGGUGUUACUGCGAAGGGGGGACGGAGAAGGCUAUGUUGGCCGGGCGACGGUUGUCCCGGUUUAAGCGUGUAGGCUGGUUUUCCAGGCAAAUCCGGAAAAUCAAGGCUGAGGCGUGAUGACGAGGCACUACGGUGCUGAAGCAACAAAUGCCCUGCUUCCAGGAAAAGCCUCUAAGCAUCAGGUAACAUCAAAUCGUACCCCAAACCGACACAGGUGGUCAGGUAGAGAAUACCAAGGCGCUUGAGAGAACUCGGGUGAAGGAACUAGGCAAAAUGGUGCCGUAACUUCGGGAGAAGGCACGCUGAUAUGUAGGUGAAGUCCCUCGCGGAUGGAGCUGAAAUCAGUCGAAGAUACCAGCUGGCUGCAACUGUUUAUUAAAAACACAGCACUGUGCAAACACGAAAGUGGACGUAUACGGUGUGACGCCUGCCCGGUGCCGGAAGGUUAAUUGAUGGGGUUAGCGCAAGCGAAGCUCUUGAUCGAAGCCCCGGUAAACGGCGGCCGUAACUAUAACGGUCCUAAGGUAGCGAAAUUCCUUGUCGGGUAAGUUCCGACCUGCACGAAUGGCGUAAUGAUGGCCAGGCUGUCUCCACCCGAGACUCAGUGAAAUUGAACUCGCUGUGAAGAUGCAGUGUACCCGCGGCAAGACGGAAAGACCCCGUGAACCUUUACUAUAGCUUGACACUGAACAUUGAGCCUUGAUGUGUAGGAUAGGUGGGAGGCUUUGAAGUGUGGACGCCAGUCUGCAUGGAGCCGACCUUGAAAUACCACCCUUUAAUGUUUGAUGUUCUAACGUUGACCCGUAAUCCGGGUUGCGGACAGUGUCUGGUGGGUAGUUUGACUGGGGCGGUCUCCUCCUAAAGAGUAACGGAGGAGCACGAAGGUUGGCUAAUCCUGGUCGGACAUCAGGAGGUUAGUGCAAUGGCAUAAGCCAGCUUGACUGCGAGCGUGACGGCGCGAGCAGGUGCGAAAGCAGGUCAUAGUGAUCCGGUGGUUCUGAAUGGAAGGGCCAUCGCUCAACGGAUAAAAGGUACUCCGGGGAUAACAGGCUGAUACCGCCCAAGAGUUCAUAUCGACGGCGGUGUUUGGCACCUCGAUGUCGGCUCAUCACAUCCUGGGGCUGAAGUAGGUCCCAAGGGUAUGGCUGUUCGCCAUUUAAAGUGGUACGCGAGCUGGGUUUAGAACGUCGUGAGACAGUUCGGUCCCUAUCUGCCGUGGGCGCUGGAGAACUGAGGGGGGCUGCUCCUAGUACGAGAGGACCGGAGUGGACGCAUCACUGGUGUUCGGGUUGUCAUGCCAAUGGCACUGCCCGGUAGCUAAAUGCGGAAGAGAUAAGUGCUGAAAGCAUCUAAGCACGAAACUUGCCCCGAGAUGAGUUCUCCCUGACUCCUUGAGA
rnacentral:rRNA from 1 species